AUAUAUGUAUAUAUAAUAAAAAUGAAAUCAUUCGGAGAGUCUCAUCACCAGAGAUUCUGUUAUUUACCGAGCGCGUGGCGCGCAGCGCCAUCUCGCGAGCUUCGCGCGAGUCACGCGGGUCGACAUCAGUAUGGCCGCCGUCGCGAUACCUUUAACCAACGACAAGUGAAUCUUUCCCGUGUUUUCGCAGUUCCUGGGACGAGGGAGGGAAACGCAUCCGACCGCUGUGCGUGCGACAGACUCCGCUGGAUCCCGAUGAGUCGAGUCUGGCCACAGGUUGGACAGCGGUUCCUCGUUUUGGAGGAUUCAACUCGAUCAGGACCUUCUGGACACCAUCAGCGCGAUUUAUCCAGAGUGGUUUAAGGAUUACACUAACAGCCGAGCAGCAUCGGCAUCGUCGUCCCUCACGUCUUCGGGCGCUUCCAGCGCGCAAUCCUGCGACGAGAACGCCGCCGUGGUCGUCGCUACCGAACGCGGCGGCGAGCACAAGAUCGCCAAAGGCGACGCCAAGUCGAGAUCCAAGGUGAAAAAAGCGGACGGCCACAAGGAUAAGGAUCGGGACAGGAAGGAUCCUAGGCGCGACGCCAAGGACGAGAGGGACGCUGGAAACGGUAAGAAAGGGACGAAGCCCUCGCCGCAGCAGGAUAAAGCAGCGGCGGACGCGGCAGGAAGGAAGGCCGCCGGUGCUGCUGCUCCAGAAUCGGGAUCGGAGAUGGCCGAGGGCAAUCAGUCGCCGCCGAAGGCGGAGGUCGAUGAUUCCCCCCUUCAGCACGCCAUGGAUCGCAACA